AUCUAGCUGACGAGUCCCAGAUAGGACGAAACGUACGUCCUGGAU
rnacentral:hammerhead_ribozyme from 1 species